rnacentral:rRNA from 1 species
UGGCGGACGGGUGAGUAACGCGUAAAGAACUUGCCCUUUAGACUGGGAUAACAGAGGGAAACUUCUGAUAAUACUGGAUAAGUUAGUAUAUCGCAUGAUGUGCAAAUGAAAGCUACGGCACUAAAGGAGAGCUUUGCGUCCUAUUAGCUAGUUGGUAAGGUAAGAGCUUACCAAGGCGAUGAUAGGUAGCCGGCCUGAGAGGGUGGACGGCCACAAGGGGACUGAGAUACGGCCCUUACUCCUACGGGAGGCAGCAGUC